AGAGUUUGAUCCUGGCUCAGAUUGAACGCUAGCGGGAUGCUUUACACAUGCAAGUCGAACGGCAGCACGAGAGAGCUUGCUCUCUUGGUGGCGAGUGGCGGACGGGUGAGUAAUAUAUCGGAACGUGCCCAGUAGCGGGGGAUAACUACUCGAAAGAGUGGCUAAUACCGCAUACGCCCUACGGGGGAAAGGGGGGGAUCGCAAGACCUCUCACUAUUGGAGCGGCCGAUAUCGGAUUAGCUAGUUGGUGGGGUAAAGGCUCACCAAGGCAACGAUCCGUAGCUGGUUUGAGAGGACGACCAGCCACACUGGGACUGAGACACGGCCCAGACUCCUACGGGAGGCAGCAGUGGGGAAUUUUGGACAAUGGGGGAAACCCUGAUCCAGCCAUCCCGCGUGUAUGAUGAAGGCCUUCGGGUUGUAAAGUACUUUUGGCAGAGAAGAAAAGGCAUCCCCUAAUACGGGAUGCUGCUGACGGUAUCUGCAGAAUAAGCACCGGCUAACUACGUGCCAGCAGCCGCGGUAAUACGUAGGGUGCAAGCGUUAAUCGGAAUUACUGGGCGUAAAGCGUGUGUAGGCGGUUCGGAAAGAAAGAUGUGAAAUCCCAGGGCUCAACCUUGGAACUGCAUUUUUAACUGCCGAGCUAGAGUAUGUCAGAGGGGGGUAGAAUUCCACGUGUAGCAGUGAAAUGCGUAGAUAUGUGGAGGAAUACCGAUGGCGAAGGCAGCCCCCUGGGAUAAUACUGACGCUCAGACACGAAAGCGUGGGGAGCAAUACAGGAUUAGAUACCCUGGUAGUCCACGCCCUAAACGAUGU
rnacentral:rRNA from 1 species